rnacentral:rRNA from 1 species
GUUUGAUCCUGGCUCAGAUUGAACGCUGGCGGCAUGCCUUACACAUGCAAGUCGAACGGCAGCACGGAGCUUGCUCUGGUGGCGAGUGGCGAACGGGUGAGUAAUAUAUCGGAACGUACCCUGGAGUGGGGGAUAACGUAGCGAAAGUUACGCUAAUACCGCAUACGAUCUAAGGAUGAAAGUGGGGGAUUCGUAAGAACCUCAUGCUCCUGGAGCGGCCGAUAUCUGAUUAGCUAGUUGGUAGGGUAAAAGCCUACCAAGGCAUCGAUCAGUAGCUGGUCUGAGAGGACGACCAGCCACACUGGAACUGAGACACGGUCCAGACUCCUACGGGAGGCAGCAGUGGGGAAUUUUGGACAAUGGGGGCAACCCUGAUCCAGCAAUGCCGCGUGAGUGAAGAAGGCCUUCGGGUUGUAAAGCUCUUUUGUCAGGGAAGAAACGGUGUGAGCUAAUAUCUCAUGCUAAUGACGGUACCUGAAGAAUAAGCACCGGCUAACUACGUGCCAGCAGCCGCGGUAAUACGUAGGGUGCAAGCGUUAAUCGGAAUUACUGGGCGUAAAGCGUGCGCAGGCGGUUUUGUAAGACUGUCGUGAAAUCCCCGGGCUCAACCUGGGAAUGGCGAUGGUGACUGCAAGGCUAGAGUUUGGCAGAGGGGGGUAGAAUUCCACGUGUAGCAGUGAAAUGCGUAGAUAUGUGGAGGAACACCGAUGGCGAAGGCAGCCCCCUGGGUCAAAACUGACGCUCAUGCACGAAAGCGUGGGGAGCAAACAGGAUUAGAUACCCUGGUAGUCCACGCCCUAAACGAUGUCUACUAGUUGUCGGGUUUUAAUUAACUUGGUAACGCAGCUAACGCGUGAAGUAGACCGCCUGGGGAGUACGGUCGCAAGAUUAAAACUCAAGGAAUUGACGGGACCCGCACAAGCG